rnacentral:lncRNA from 10 species
GUGUUGUGAGAGGGACCCAGUGGGAGAUGACUGAAUCAUGGGGGUGGUCUUUCCCAUGCUGUCCUCAUGAUAGUGAAUAAGUCUCACUAGAUCCAAUGGUUUUAAAAAUGGGAGUGUCCCUGCACAGCCUCUCUUUUUUUGCCUGCUGCCAUCAGGCAAAAAUGUGACUUGCUGCCAUCAGUCAAGAUGUGACUUGCUCCUUUUUGCCUUCAGCCAUGUUCGUGAGGCCUCCCCAGCCAUGUGGAACUGUUACAUGAAGUUCGGAUCCAGCCUUCCCUAACCAAAGAUGGUGUCUUUUCUGCCCUAAAGAUGGCAGAGUUGGAGUUUCCCCAGUUUGAAACCCUUCAUCUAGGAUAUGUAGAUGAGUUUUUGCUACAGAGCAGAAUGGCUAAUGCGGAUCUGGUGAAGUAUGGUUUGGCUGAUGUGGUAGAAAAUCCUGGUAUCAUCACUGAUAUAGGGAUGAAAGCAGUCAAUGAAGUUUUUUCCUGUAUCAAAUAUCUGGCAAUUUACAAUUGCCCUCAUCUACACAACCCAUACAAUUGGAUCUCAG